AAUAAAAAAUAGCGUAUAAGAGAUAUUCUGUUUCUUUUUUUUUAUCGACGAUAUACGACGAACGAAGGAACGAAAUACACGAUUAGAAAUUAUACGCGCUCGCCAAGGACUAUCACCGUUACCACCACUACUACCAUCAUCAUCAUCGGCAACCAAUACCAACAUCGGGCUCUCCUGACACUAAGAGCAUUUAAUCAACGGUAGAAAUGUGAUUAGUGGAUUAAAAAACUAGAAACGAAAUGAGAAAAAGGAGUGACAAAUAAACGAAUGAGAAACUAGAGAGUGGGGAAGAAAGAAAGAGAGAGAGAGAGAGAGAGAGAGAGAAGUUUUGUAAGUAUGUAAGCCAAUUUUCAAGCUCGUAUUAACGUCCGGAUUUGCCGCUAUUACGAGAGAUUCAUUGAAUCUAGUAUGUGUGUGAGAGAAAGGAAGAUUAGGGAAGAGGGAGAAUGAGAGAGAAUAAGAGUGUGGAAACGAGGUUUAUGAAAUUAUGCGUGUAUUAGAGAGAGAGAGAGAGAGAGAGAGAGAGAGAGAGAGAGAGAGAGAGAGAGAGAGAGAGAGAGAGAGAGAAAGACAGUAAGAGAGGGAGAGAGAAAAAAAGAACAGAAAACACGUUAUUGAUACAAUUGAGUACGUCUUUAUGCUUAUGAUUAUGAUUAUUGUAUUAAUUAAUUGAUUAUCAUUAUAAAUUACCAUUAACAGAACGAAAGUAGGAAUAAACCUGACAGCAUCAAGGAUGAAAGAGAGAAGGGAGGAAGAAAUGAGAUAAAAGUAAAAAUAAAAAUUAAAAAAAAAAAAUAAAAAUAAUUACAAAAUAAAUAAAUAAAAAAGAAAGGCAACCACUUAUAUUAUUGUACAUACUUACUUGUAAUUGCUAUACGUAUUUCAGAGGUUUUUGUUCUCUCAAUGAAUGAUUUCCUCGAUUCUGAGGAAAGGAAAGGAAAAAAAAAACAAAGAAAUCGUAAAUAAAAUAAAAAAAUUUAUGUAUCAUUAAA